rnacentral:rRNA from 1 species
AACGAACGCUGGCGGCAUGCCUAACACAUGCAAGUCGAACGAGACCUUCGGGUCGAGUGGCGCACGGGUGCGUAACGCGUGGGAACCUGCCCUUAGGUUCGGAAUAACUCCCCGAAAGGGGUGCUAAUACCGGAUAAUGUCUUCGGACCAAAGAUUUAUCGCCUUUGGAUGGGCCCGCGUUGGAUUAGCUAGUUGGUAGGGUAAAAGCCUACCAAGGCGACGAUCCAUAGCUGGUCUGAGAGGAUGCUCAGCCACACUGGGACUGAGACACGGCCCAGACUCCUACGGGAGGCAGCAGUGGGGAAUAUUGGACAAUGGGCGAAAGCCUGAUCCAGCAAUGCCGCGUGAGUGAUGAAGGCCUUAGGGUUGUAAAGCUCUUUUACCCGGGAUGAUAAUGACAGUACCGGGAGAAUAAGCACCGGCUAACUCCGUG